rnacentral:misc_RNA from 1 species
CAGCAGCCAUAUAUCUGUGUAAAUUCAUAAAUAUCUAAAUAAAUAAAUGUAGAUAAACAUUAGUGUUUGAAACUAAUAAUUAAAGUUUCCAGUGGACCUUUAUUGGGAAAAGUUGUUUCAGAUGGGCGGCUAGGAGCAUCAUUUCGAGCACAGUAAAUUGCG